UUUGCUUUGCGCGACUUUCUACGUCCCUCGGUGGCGGCCGCGACGUACUCCUGACAAAGGAAGCGAUCUGCACACUGUGUCUAAGCGCCGUGCGUGAGUGAGUGCCAUUCACCGGCGCCGCUUUAUGCGCUAAUCUUCUUUAUACCUCACUUGGCUGCGCCGCAAUGGCGAACUACACGUACAUGAAGCCCGAAGAGCUGGUGGAGGUGCUCGACAAUCCUGACUCACUCACCAAAGCCGCGGUGAUAGACUGCAGGGAUAGUGAUCGAGACUGCGGCUUCAUCGUGAACUCGAUAAGCAUGCCGACGAUUAGCUGCACGGAAGAGAUGUACGAAAAGCUCGCCAAGACGCUCUUCGAAGAGAAGAAAGAGAUCGCUGUCUUUCACUGUGCCCAGUCGCUCAUACGGGCCCCCAAGGGAGCCAACCGCUUCGUUCUGGCACAGAAGAAGCUCGGCUACGUGCUCCCUGCCGUGUACGUGCUGCGCGGUGGGUGGGAGGCGUUCUACCAUAUGUAUGGCGACGUGCGGCCGGACCUCAUUUAUGUGUGAGUUGUAAAGAGCGACGGCACUGGCUGUGCGUGCAGCGCAGCGGUAGCUGACAACUGCCGUGCGUGUGGUGAAGGUGCAGAGGUCGAAGGAGGCGAUGCGGCGUCGCCGUCGGCUUCUCCCACGUGUAUUGUCGCUUCUACACGUUUUGUGACGGGCGCUGCCUGUGUGUGCGUGCGUGCGUGUGCGCUCGUCAGCUGCGUUGCAAAGACAGCGGCACCCAGGAGCAAGAGCGCGUCUUUGAUGGCCGGAGGUGCACUUCAAGCUCAUCUCCCUUGCUUCGUUUUUCGACCCCGCGCAUGCAGAGACGCGCACACGACGAAGCCAAAAGGAAAAGACAGAUAAACGGCGUCGAGGCAGCCUUCCAGGCCUGCUUUCAUCGGCGAAGGACAAGGUAGCAGCGAUGCUGCGUUGCACCUCUUCCUCUCUCUUCGGCGCUUGAGCCCUUGCUCAUUUCCGCAGAAGAGGCAGCAGUAGCAGCCGCCAUCAUCCCUUCCGCGCAUGAGGGAGGCUAGGCAAGCACGAUGUGAGACGCACUUGAGCAAAUUGUGAGAUGCUUUUUCUUAUGAACCUCGAAACACCUGGGUUGUAGCGCAGCGAUGGCGCCAUGGCGAACACAGGUUUCUUCUCCUCUUCCUGUCCACCACACCACCUAGCACCGUCGGAAGUUCCGAUGGCCCUGUGUGCUUGGGCUUUGCUUCUCUCGGUUACUGCUGAGCUAGAAGGCAGGCAUGGGUGCGCAACCCCUCCCUGGACGCCCCUUUCACCUCCCUUCACCUCCUUUCCUCGGACCCUCCUCCUGUGAGGCCCUGCUGCGCACUUUCCCUUCUUACGUCUUUCCGCGUCUGGGCGAGGCGACGGGGCGAUGACGUGUCCCCCACCGCCGCGCGGGAGCUGAUGCACGUGUCUCUGCCUUCACCCAUCAAAGCUGGGUUUUGCUGUGCUCUCUCUCUCUCUGUCUCUGUAACUCAG
rnacentral:misc_RNA from 1 species